rnacentral:rRNA from 1 species
AGGACGAACGCUGGCGGCGUGCUUAACACAUGCAAGUCGAGCGGAAAGGCCCUUCGGGGGUACUCGAGCGGCGAACGGGUGAGUAACACGUGAGCAACCUGCCCCUGGCUCUGGGAUAGCCUCCGGAAACGGGGGAUUAAUACCGGACAUUCACUUCCUUCCGCAUGGUUGGUGGUGGAAAGUUUUUCGGCCGGGGAGGGGCUCGCGGUCUAUCAGCUUGUUGGCGGGGUAACGGCCCACCAAGGCGACGACGGAUAG